AACCCUAAACCCUAAAACUCAACUCUGAACCCUAAAACAUCAAUCUUAAACCCUAUUUCUUUUUUUGAAAUACGAAUCCUAACCCCUAAACAAUCAAUCCUAAACCUUUUUUUUUUUGAAAUACUAACCUUAAAUCCUCAACUCUAAACCCUAAACCCCGAAACAUCAACUCAAAACCCUAAACCCUAAACCUUCAACUCUAAACCCUAAAACAUCAACUUUAAACCCUAAACCCUAAAAUUCAACUCUAAACCCUAAACCAUCAACACUUAACCCUAAACUAUCAACCCUAAAUCCUAAACCCUAAAAAAUAAACUCUAAACCCUAAACCCUAAAAAAUAAACUC
rnacentral:lncRNA from 1 species